UACAGAGGUCUCAAGCGUUGUUCGGAUUCAUUGGGCGUAAAGGGUGCGUAGGCGGCGCGGUAAGUCGGGUGUGAAAUCUCGGAGCUUAACUCCGAAACUGCAUUCGAUACUGCCGUGCUUGAGGACUGGAGAGGAGACUGGAAUUUACGGUGUAGCGGUGAAAUGCGUAGAUAUCAGGAGGAACACCUGUGGUGUAGACAGCUUUCUGGACCAUAGCUGACGCUGAGACACGAAAGCGUGGGUAGCAAACAGG
rnacentral:rRNA from 1 species